UCACCACCUCCACCAUCCCCUUCACCUCCUCCUCCUUAUGUCUACAAGUCUCCACACCUCCGUCACGUCACCUCUCUCAUACGUCUAUAAUCUCAACACACAUCUCAUCCCACUCUCCUUAUGUGUACAAUCUCACCACACAUCUCAUNNNNNNNNNNNNNNNNNNNNNNNNNNNNNNNNNNNNNNNNNNNNNNNNNNNNNNNNNNNNNNNNNNNNNNNNNNNNNNNNNNNNNNNNNNNNNNNNNNNNGUUGACAACAAGUGUGCUGGUGAAUAAUAAGGGUCUAGCAGAACCCUUCUUGUAAUCUGUUGUAAGCACUUAUUGUAUUACUUCUUUAAAGAGAUUAAUUGAAUCAAAUGAAAGUGAAGAACAUUAAUUUCAUGUACUUGUUAAUCUAGUAUAUGCCCCUAUGACUUUUGGGUUAAUUAGUUCUGUGCUUCUUUGUUGAAAAGUUAAUGCAUGAUAAUGCAUAUCACUUUAUCAUCGUUAUUAAAUAGUAAACAUGCAUGCAUUUUAUAAUAAAUUUGGUACCUGGAUGUUUCAAGUUGUAACCAAAGCUCAAUUGGCCAGAUACGAAAUCAAAUUUAAGAAUUGUUUAAUCUGAUAGUUGACGUGACUUACUGUUUAUGUUCAUAUGUUUGGGAAACAUUACUGCAAUUGAGUGGACAGAGAUAUGUUUAUGUCCAUUGGGCCUACUCUCGGAACUUAGCUGGCAUGAACAAAUUAAUAGUUGACUACUGGGCACUUAAACAUACCCAAAUUUUUUUAGAGGCUAUUGAUUUUGAGUAGGAAUCCCCGUUGGGUCCGGUCCCAGGCUUAAUCGGGAAGAUUUCGGGGUAAAAUUAGAGGCUGGUAUGUGAAUCUCUAAAUUUUUAAAAUUCCCUGUCAAGGAUGGUAUUGUCACUACAAAAAAAAAGUGGUAACAGUCACCAUUAUUUAGUGACAUUUGCUGGGGCGAUUAAAGGUUUUAGUCACUAAAAAAGUCUUUUUUGGUGACUUCAAAAAUGCCUUUUGUGACUAAAGCCUUUAGUCACCCCAACAAAUAUCACCAAAUAAUGGUCACUAUUGCCACUUUUGUUUUUUUGAGGUGUUAUCCCCUUCUCCAAACCCGGUCUAAUAAGGGAAAUAUUUAUUUGGGUAAAAAAACACUUUUGGCCACUAGGGUUAGAGUUGAAAACGAUUUUGGACAUGGAUCCGUUGUCCCUAUUUUUCAUGUCCCUCCAUGUCCCUUUUCUAAUUUCUUGACAAGUGUCCACCUACUUAACCCCAAACUAAUACUGUUAAUUUGUAAUAAAAUAUUUAAAAAACAUAAAAACUAAAAUCGAAAAACAAAAACCAAGCAGACACCACAACCCCGCCCCACCUCAGCAGCCCCCUGAGCCUCUCCCAUCUUCACCAUCGGCGAAGCAUCCCCUCUUAUUUGUCUCUCUUUCCUUCUUCUAUCUCACUGCCUCUCCUGAAUUUGUUCCUCUUUCCCUCCUCUUUCGUGGUGUGGGUGUGACGAGGAAUAGUGUUUCUAAGCAAUAAUAGUCAUAAUCUCAAAGUUUAAGUCAUAGUGUUUCUAAGCAAUAAUAGUCUUCAGUCACCAUUGAAUUCUACGAGGGUUUAGAUCAAAUCGGCAUCAACAAAAAUUAACAAAUAAUAUUUCAAGGGUUGUGUGACUUGCAACACUUCGUAGAAAAGAUUGGGACAAAAUUCAAAGGAGAGAUAUAUAUAUAUAUAUAUAUAGAGAGAGAGAGCUUCCAUUGAGGGAUCCCUCAAAUAACUUAUUUGAGGAAUACCCCUUGUAGGCCCCACUUCGAAUUGUAUCUCAUUCAUCCAAACAGUCUAUUUUGUAGAUACUCAUUCAAAGAUCAUCUCUACAAAAAAUCACUUGAAUCCGAUAUCAGUUGACCACUCAAUUGAGUUAUUGAAAUUUUAGUACUUUUUUGAAGCACCGUGUUCAUUGAUUUUGUAAGACACAAUUGGAUGUCGAAACGGUUUCCGAUUUGUCUAAUUUUUUGUAAGGAUAAUCUAUGAAUGAAGACCUAAAAAAUAGAUGAUUUGGAUCAUUGGAAAAAAAAAUUGUAAGGUACCCUAAAGGGCGUUCCUCAAAUAAUUUGAGGGAUCCCUCAAUAGAAGGGGAUAUAUAUAUAUUUAUAUAUUAGGAGUCUAAACCAGCGGUUUUAGUAUUUCCUCUUCAGCAAUUGGUGGGCUAUGCUUGUGUACUAGUUCUCCAAUAUCGAAUGUGUGAGGUUGAUUAUGGUAUAGGGCAGAAACAAACAUACCUUACAAGUGAAAUCACAUAGUACUAAACUGGAAUUGAAGUUCUUUUCUCUUUUUCCCCCCCUUUGGGAAGGAUAAUCUCUUUAAAUUGUACGCAGAUGUGUACAAAAUGAGUGGUUUUUGUAUUGUCUAAAACUGAGAAGGGAAAUAUUUUUGCCUAUCUUUUUGGCUCCUUUUUGUGUUUUCUUAUUUGUCGAGGAUAAUAGAAGGGUUGGUUAGAUGAGCAUCGAUCCACGACAAUGUCAACUUAGGCGGUGACCUCUUAGUUGGAAUCGAGAGUCCCUUUUUUGUUUUGGUUAGAAUGAAAACAAAGUCUGCAGUCGAUAUAUACCUUUAACUAAGUUUCCCUUGUUUUUCUUUCUUUGCAUUUGUUUUUCUUCCUUACCGACUAAUACGUACAAACAUGCAUAAGACUUUCAAUCUAAAUUUCAAACUUUUCUAGAAGUAGAGAGAGAGAGAUAGUAUAUAUAUAUAUAUUGAGCCAUCACUUGCCAAGUCUAAUGACACACAAGUAGGACACACACAUUAAAUGCAAGCUUGACCUUAAAUUUUUCUUCCCUCUUACACACAAGGGCCGAUUGAGUGAAAAUAAAAAUAAAAAAUUGAUUUAGAGAGACCAAAAUAUUAAAGAAAAUUUGAUAUUUCUCAAAAUUUUCAAUGUCUAAUAUAUUUUUUUAUUAAAUAUAUGUAAUAUAGUUUAUGUAAUUAACUUACUAUAAAUUUAUAUAAACAAAAACCAUAAUUUGCAGGGUAGUACAAAUAUCCACAAAUAAUUAAUACAAAGAUAGAAGCAUAGUAAGCACGUAAGGUUAAUCCAGAUACAUAGAAAGACACAGUACCGAGAACAUCAAGCGCACAAGGUGUAUCUCCACUAAUUAAUAGCCACAUAAUGCCAAAGAAAUUUUUGCAUAAAAGCUACAAGACUGCAUAAGACAGACAUGAACCGCAGUGCGUAAAACUACCAACACAACUGCAACUUUUAAACUCUCGCAAGUAGAACUUAUAAGUAAGUACCUAGACUACAAACAAACACCCAACUUACAAGAAUUGAUGAAAUUAUUACAACUCAAGAAUAUAUAAACACACAACAAGUGAGUAAAAGUUGCUAAGCCACUAAGCCACCUUGUAUGUCUCUAAAUUUGGCAACGAAACCACCAGUGCAUUGCUACUUCAUCGUCACCAAAGAUUCCAAUGAAAGCCAAAUCACAAGGCUGGGUUUUUUUUUUUUUUUGGAGAAAAACUUAGGUUGGUUUUAUUACUAGAGAAUUCGAAUGGCACAAUUGCUUUUCAGGUUCUCCAUCUUAAUUUGUAAUAGAAGUAACACAUUUAAAAGAUUUAUUUUUCUAGCUCUCAUAAAUAUGGAUGAGGUGAAACCAGCCAAAAGUUCCUCAGUCACACGCUAAACUGAAUAUCUUUAAACCUUAUUACUCUAGGUUGGUAAAAGAAUUUUCUCUUUUUAAUUCUUUGGUGCAACUCGAUCUCUUCUUUAUAGUUUUUUGAGAGUCGAUCACUUUUGACAAAGUGCCAAGUUGCCAACUAUGCUCCUAUUUACAUUACAUUGAAUAAAGAAAAAGAUAAUAUAGUGAGGAUAGAAUAGUUAUUAUCAGUUAUUCUAAAAUAAAAUAAAAUAAAACAAACUAAAAUUAUCCAUAUGUUUCUCCCACAAUUUUUUGUCACUAUUUCUUAUUAUCUACUUCUCGAGCAAUAAUUGUCUCACAUACAAAGCAUUCUAGUAAUAGUAAUAUAAGGACUAAUGAACUAAUGCAAAAACAUUAAGGGCCCUUAAUUGAGUUCGGCAAUUCAAAUCCAAAAAUUCAAUUGGCAAAGUACAAUGUGUGUUUAUUUAUUUGGGUUAAAUAUUUUUUUGGUCACUAGAAAAAAAUUCAGCCAAAUUGGUCACUGUGUUUUCCGAAGUAUACAAUUUAUUGACAUUCUGUUAUCUUUCAUUAAUUGCAGUUUUUUUUAAAAAAAAAAAAAUAGGAAUCACCUUCUGUCUUCUUCCUUUAACUCAACAAGUUAUGGUAUAUUGUGCUAUUAGAGUUCAGCAAAUUGGGGGAAAUCUUGGGUUGAAAUCGAAAUCGUGAGGCAUGAGGAAAAUCAAAAGGCCAAACCAAAUUAAAAUGAAAUCAACAACUUACUAAUAUAUUUUGGUGCUCUAUCACAUUGAUUGUGUCUCCUUGUCAUCCGAAGUCACAAUACAAUUCUCACUCAAUCGAUUCAGGCUUCAAUAUAAUACCCAAUUAUUCGUGACCUUAUACCUCAUCAUUUCGAUUUCAACCCAAAAUUUCCCCCCAUCUUUAAAACUCUUAUAGCACAAUAACCUAACUUGUUGAGUUAGCGAGUUAGAGGAAGAAGACUUGAACGUGCUUCUUGGAAAUAUAAAAAUAAAAACUGCACUUAAUGGAAGUUAACGGUAGAUAACAAAAUGUCUAAAUUGUAAACUUAUGGAAAUAUUGUGAUCAAUCUGACUAAAUUUUUUUCUGAAUGACUAAAUUGAAUUUCCGUGUAAUGACCAAAAAGAUAUUUAAUCCUAUUUAUUUUUAUGAAGCAAAACUCUAAUGUUAAUGGAUGAAAGCUUUACACCUUUUAAUUAGCUAAGCACUUUUGAUAAUCCAGUAAAGUAUUUUUCAUAAUGGGUCAAAGUGUUCAGUUAUAUGCAAGCUAGCGUUCGAACUUUACCUUUUUUUACCAUAUAUAUUUAUUAUUACUUCACUAGUUGCUGGAGAACAGACCAACCCUUUUCAUUUUCACUCUCCAGCCGUACAACACUUACCUACCACACGGUUUGACUUGUCCAUGGCCUUCAUGAAAGAUCAAAGUUGAAAAAUCUUUGUGGGAACCCAAAUUCACUGGUUGAAGCAUGCGAGUUCAACUGAUUGGCAUUUCAAAAUCUCAAAGUCACAUUUGGUAGAAAACUUAAAGCAUCAAUCCAGCCAAUUAUGCUGAAUAAGCAAACAUGUCUUAUUCAAAGAUGAUGUCAAAGAUUGCUAUAAAAGGGAUAGCUUUCUCACCAUUUCCAACCACCUCACUCACAAAACAAGUUCUAAGAACUACAAUUUGUGGCAGAAAUGAGAACCUCAGGACAGCUGAGGCAUUGCCCUACAAUGUUUUAUGCCUUGGCAUUGUGCCUCUUGGCCACAAGUGUGCUUGCCACUACGCCUUAUACUUAUUCUUCACCACCUCCACCAAAGCACUUGGAGACCCCUCCAACCCAUUACAAGUCCCCCCCACCACCGAAGUAUGUAAAACAUCCACCACCUCCAUCACCAUCACCCCCGCCACCCUAUUAUAAGUCUCCACCACCGCCUUCUCAUUCGCCGCCUCCUCCUUAUGUGCACAAAUCUCCUCCACCACCCACUCACUCACCACCUCCACCAUAUGCUUACAAGUCACCACCUCCCCCUUCUAAAUCACCACCUCCUCCUUAUGUCCACAAAUCUCCUCCUUAUGUCCACAAGUCACCACCUCCACCAUCAUAUUCUCCUCCACCUCCUUACCACUACAAGUCACCACCACCACCAUCUCCAUCACCUCCCCCUCCAUACCACUACAACUCUCCUCCUCCUCCAGUGAAGUCACCUCCACCUCCCCAAUAUCACUACAAAUCACCUCCACCUCCAAAACACUACUAAGCUUUAUGGGAUUUUAGCGACUUGAACCAGUCCAAAUAAGGUCUUCGUUUCGAUGUUCCAGCGGUAUCACUUCUUUUUCUAGCUUUGUUCUAUUCGCAGACAAGUGUGUUUGUGAAUAAUAAAGGUC
rnacentral:lncRNA from 1 species